rnacentral:lncRNA from 1 species
GAGGUACGUAUCCACGCACCACCGUUCAUGUUCUGCGAGUCAUUCUACUGCUAUGUCUGAACACAACAGCUGAGUAAUCGUGAGCUUCUCGGAAGGAUCUCACGCUGGCGAUGACCCUCGCGAGGCCUUCUUCCUUUUUCCUCGAAGACCUGGUGUCGAUGCCGCCCUUCUCCGAGUCAGGAUACGGGUCGGUCGAGAAGGUCUACGUGGUGUGCGCUCAUGAUGAAGGCAUCAGCGAAGAGUUUCAGCGCUGGAUGAUCAAAAAUAACCCAGUGAAAGUGGUGAAGGAGAUCGAGGAUGCUGACCAUAUGGCCAUGUUCUCAACACCGAAGCAGCUCUUCCAAUGCCUCUCUGAUGUUGUCGAUGCCAGUGCUUGAUCACGUGUUACCUACCUCUUACUUUUCUGUCUCUCCAUCACUUAACAUCUACUGUCAUCGAGACCUCCUUUUUCUUCUCCUUUACCUUUCGCAGACCAAUUGAUGGGAAUGGUCGGCCAGGAAUAAAGUUCGUUUACGUCUGCCCAUUAGUAAUGCCGCAGAUGUGUUUCAUGCGUAAUGUCGUUAUCUUAAUCUGGUCAAAUGAGGUCAAGCUACUCUAUUUAUGAUCCGCGAUGUCAUCAUGUCAUUCAUUGUGAUAUUUUCGGUACGGACCCAUUUAAUUUCGUGAGAGUUAAAAUAUAUAUUAAAUAUUUAUUUUGG